AAGUCGUAACAAGGUCUCCGUAGGUGAACCUGCGGAAGGAUCAUUAUCGAGUUUUGAACGGGUUGUAGCUGGCCUCUCACGAGGCAUGUGCACGCCUGGCUCAUCCACUCUUAACCUCUGUGCACUUUAUGUAAGAGAAAAAAAUGGUGGAAGCUUCCAGGAUCUCGCGAGAGGUCUUCGGUUGAACAAGCCGUUUUUCUUUCUUAUGUUUUACUACAAACGCUUCAGUUAUAGAAUGUCAACUGUGUAUAACACAUUUAUAUACAACUUUCAGCAACGGAUCUCUUGGCUCUC
rnacentral:misc_RNA from 1 species